rnacentral:rRNA from 1 species
UACGGAAGGGCGAGCAGUGGGGGAAUAUUGCACAAUGGGCGAAAGCCUGAUGCAGCUAUGCCGCGUGUAUGAAGAAGGCCUUAGGGUUGUAAAGUACUUUCAUCGGGGAGGAAAAACAAAACUAAUAAUUUUAUUUCUUGACGUUACCCGAAAAAGAAGCACCGGCUAACUCCGUGCCAGCAGCCGCGGUAAUACGGAGGGUGCUAGCGUUAAUCAGAAUUACUGGGCGUAAAGAGCACGUAGGUGGUUUUUUUAAGUCAGAUGUGAAAUCCCUGGGCUUAACCUAGGAACUGCAUUUUGAAACUGAAAUACUAGAGUAUCGUAGAGGGAGGUAGAAUUCUAGGUGUAGCGGUGAAAUGCGUAGAUAUCUGGAGGAAUACCUGUGGCGAAAGCGGCCUCCUAAACGAAUACUGACACUGAGGUGCGAAAAGCGUGGGGAGCAAAACAGGGAUUAGAUACC